rnacentral:rRNA from 1 species
GAGUUUGAUCCUGGCUCAGGAUGAACGCUAGCGGCAGGCUUAACACAUGCAAGUCGAACGGUAACAGGGAGAAGCUUGCUUUUCCGCUGACGAGUGGCGCACGGGUGCGUAACGCGUAUACAAUCUACCUUUUACAGAGGGAUAGCCCAGAGAAAUUUGGAUUAACACCUCAUAGUAUGUUGAAGUGGCAUCACUACGACAUUAAAAUUUCGGUGGUAAGAGAUGAGUAUGCGUUCUAUUAGCUAGUAGGUAGGGUAAAGGCUUACCUAGGCAACGAUAGAUAGGGGCCCUGAGAGGGGGAUCCCCCACACUGGUACUGAGACACGGACCAGACUCCUACGGGAGGCAGCAGUGAGGAAUAUUGGACAAUGGGCGCAAGCCUGAUCCAGCCAUGCCGCGUGCAGGAAGACUGCCCUAUGGGUUGUAAACUGCUUUUAUACAGGAAGAAACAGCUCUACGUGUAGAGCCUUGACGGUACUGUAAGAAUAAGGAUCGGCUAACUCCGUGCCAGCAGCCGCGGUAAUACGGAGGAUCCAAGCGUUAUCCGGAAUCAUUGGGUUUAAAGGGUCCGUAGGUGGAUAAUUUAGUCAGAGGUGAAAUCCUGCAGCUCAACUGUAGAAUUGCCUUUGAUACUGGUUAUCUUGAGUUAUUAUGAAAUAGUUAGAAUAUGUAGUGUAGCGGUGAAAUGCAUAGAUAUUACAUAGAAUACCAAUUGCGAAGGCAGAUUACUAAUAAUCAACUGACACUGAUGGACGAAAGCGUGGGGAGCGAACAGGAUU